GUGGGGAAUCUUCCGCAAUGGACGAAAGUCUGACGGAGCGACGCCGCGUGAGUGAAGAAGGCCUUCGGGUCGUAAAGCUCUGUCAUCAGGGACGAACGGCCGGUGGAGUGGAAAGCCACCGGAUUGACGGUACCUGAGAAGGAAGCCACGGCUAACUACGUGCCAGCAGCCGCGGUAAUACGUAGGUGGCAAGCGUUGUCCGGAAUUAUUGGGCGUAAAGCGCGCGCAGGUGGGAUCUUAAGUCCAUUUUGAAAGUUCGGAGCUCAACUCCGUGAUGGGAUGGAAACUGGGAGUCUUGAGUACCGGAGAGGAAAGCGGAAUUCCCCGUGUAGCGGUGAAAUGCGUAGAUAUGGGGAGGAACACCAGUGGCGAAGGCGGCUUUCUGGACGGUGUCUGACACUGAGGCGCGAAAGCUAGGGGAGCGAACGGGAUUAGAAACCCUGGUAGUCC
rnacentral:rRNA from 1 species